GAAUCCAGGGCAGGACCUACUGGGUAAGACCUCAAUAUUUGUCCUGGAUGCCGAUAUAAAAGGAAGUAAAGUUUGAAACAGAGGCAACUGUUUUGCCACUUCAAGAGGAGAGCUUGAAACUCUGGGGGCCACCUCGUAGACUUAGGGAUGAAGCCAGUACCAUAGAAGGCACAAUGGUAUGACUGGGAGAAAGUGUGUCUUCAGUGACGUGGAUCAUGCGUCACACGAACCUACCAUGCAUCCCGACCUCUGAGUUAUGUGGACAACACUUCUUCCACAGCCCUCGUUUUUAUUAAGGAAUGACAGUGGCACUAAAAGCAUCCCCCGCCUAGCACGAUCUGGAGUGAGAACCUCGCCACCUCUGUUCUUGCUUUCCCAUUCAUUAGGACCCUUUCCGAGCCUCCUUCCCCAGCAAAAACCGGGGAAUGCUUCGCGUGGUUACAAAAGGAGGGAGCGGCCGGCUUCCUAGCCUCACGCCUCAGAGAGUCAAGAACGUGCAGAUCUUUUGUCCCCGACCCCUUCCGCGGCUUGGUCGCGGGGGUGACGACCCCGCCCCACCCCCGCCUAAGC
ensembl:lncRNA